rnacentral:sRNA from 1 species
CACAUGCUCACACAUUCACACACAUGCUCACCCAUACACAUGCUCACACACAUGCUCACACAUUCACACACAUGCUCACCCAUACACAUGCUCACACAUUCAUACACAUGCUCACACACAUGCUCACCCAUACAUACGCUCAGACACAUGCUCACCCAUACACCUGCUCACACACAGAUGCUCACACAUAUCUACACCUGUUCACACACACACAUGCUCACACACAAUUACACAUGCUCACACAUGACAUACACCUCAUACACAUGCUCACACACAAUUACAUACGCCUGCUCACACAUACACACACAUGCUCACACACAUGAUUACAUACACCUCACACAUACACAUGCUCACACAUGAUUACAUACACAUGCUCACACACAUGCUCACCCAUAAACAUGCUCACACACACAUGCUCAUACACGUUUACCCAUAUAUAUGCUUACACACGCAUGCUCACACACACGAUUACAUACACCUGCUCACACAUACGCAUUACAUACACCUCACACACACAUGCUCACACAUACACAUACAUGCUCACAAACAUGAUUACAUACACCUACACACACACAUGCUCACACAAUUACAUACACCUACUCAUACACACAUAUGCUCACACACACGAUUACAUACACCUCACCCAUACACACACACGGUCACACGAUUACAUAUGCUCACACAUACAUGCUAACACACGAUUACAUACACAUGCUCACACACAUGCUCACCUAUACACAUGCUCACACACGCUCACACACACAUACACACGAGUACAUAUACAUGCUGACACACACAUGCCCACACACGAUUACAUACACAUGCUCACACAUACAAACGUUCACACUCACAUGUUCACACACAUGCACACAUGCUCACGCACACACCCAUACACACAUACUCACACAUGAUUACAUACACAUGCUCACAUACAUACACGAUUACAUACACAUGCUCACACAUGCUCACACAUACACACAUGUUCACAAGGCUCAUACACAUGUUCUUACACAUACAUGCUCACGCAUACACACAUAUACACACAUGCUCACACACAGGCACACAUGAUCACACAUACACAGGCUUGCACAAGUUUACACACAUACUCAUACACACAUGCGCACAUAUGCACAUGCUCUCACAUACAUGUAUAGGCACACACAGGAUUACACAUGCUCACACAUGUGUUUAUACACAUACAUACACCCAUGCACAUGUUCAUGCGUUUAUACACACACAUCACACAUACACACACCCAUAUACUCACACACACAUUCACACACACGCUGUCACAUGCUCUGUCUCUCACACAUACCUGACGGUUCCGUGCUGUCCCCUGUUUCCCUCAGGGUCUUCCCUUUGGAGGCUGCAGCUCGUCUGAGCAUCCAGCCUUGAAGGCACCGAGCAGGCAAGGAGGUAGGGCUUUUCUCUAGGGAGGUCUGCAUUGCAGUACGGCUUCCUCAUCCCCGCUAAGGGUAGGGAAGGGCCAGAGUCUAGGACUUACCUGAAUACAGAACAUCUGGGAGCGUCUGUCUCGUGUGGGCCUUGUGCUGAGCCUGUGCAGACCAGGACUUGCACCCUAAGCCACUUGUUGGCCCCUCCCUCAGAAUCGUGUGCAAUGGCUUGGCCUCACCCAUAGACAAGGGAGGCGGCAAGAAAUGCCGUAGAGAGACACUGAGCCUAAAGGACAGCACCUUACACCUGUGCAGUCCACACUUGCCUUUCCAAUUCACCGUUGCAUUUCAUCCUCACGUCCCUUGACACCAAGGCCCAGAAGCGGAGAAGGUGCACAUCACAUAAUGCUGAGUUGGAAGGGAGUUUGCUUUUCAUCUCUUGUCUACUGCCCCGUGAACAACUUUCCAAGUGACACAUUUUGUAAAAGGAGAGAACCUGCACGGAACUGGCUGCUCUGGGGCCCUCUCCCUGCCCGACGCUGCUUCAUGCUGAGUUACUGCCAGGACUCCUAACUGUCUUCUCUCUGUGCUGUCUCCAGGAUUACGGUGGCUACCUGAGCACCUACAUCCUCCCAGCAAAGGGAGAAAAUCAAGGCCAGACAUUCACCUGCGGCUCCGCUCUCUCUCCAAUAACAGACUUCAAACUCUAUGCCUCUGCGUUUUCCGAGAGGUACUUGGGCCUCCACGGACUUGACAACAGAGCGUACGAGAUGACCAAGGUAGCCCAUCGAGUCUCCGCACUGGAAGAACAGCAGUUCCUGAUCAUUCAUCCCACUGCCGAUGAAAAAAUUCAUUUCCAGCACACAGCAGAACUCAUUACACAACUAAUUAGGGGAAAGACUAAUUACAGCUUACAGGUACAGUACGCAUGUUACUCUGUUUUGAACCUGGAGCAAGACAUUCCUUUCAUGGAGAAAGACCUGACGGGUGUUCAGGACCUUCUACUGCAGCAGACACGCCUGUGCUGUGGUGGUCGGCGAUGAGCAGGGUCCCAGCAGGUUGGAAAAUCAGCACAUGCUCAAUGUUUUCUUAUAAUUAAUGAUAGCUCUGCUCUGUACUUCAGCCAGGUUUAAAUCCCUUUAGGACAACCACCACCCCAUACUCCCAUCCCAGCCCUGCUUCCCUCCUCUGGGCAGUGAGAAAAACCAAGCCAGCACCCGCCCUGCCCAGCAGUGUGGCUGGGGCUAUCCCGGUGUGGGGAGUGGGACUGUUGUUCUGGGUUGGUGAGAGUGGUGCUGGCGGGCCCUGAGCCUUGCCCCACUGCUUCCCUCUGACCAACACCACACGUUACUACGCACUAGCAGGAUGUCCUGGGGGCAUCUGUAGCUAGGCAGUAGUGAAAGAGGGGUACCCUUCCCAGAACUGAACUCACUUUCCCACAACCAACCCAUGGCCCGUCCACAACAGCAUCAAGUGCUGACCCAGCAGCCUCAAACCUGGGCUCUUCCCAGCAAUGCACAGGGCUGUCUCUGGAAACUUCUGCCAUUUUCUUCCUGCCCUCUGCUCCUUUGGUGGAACAGGUAUGACCCAAUGGUCUCUUCAGGUCCGACAUGAAUGGGAGAGCUCCUUGGGAACAAAUGAUGGGCAGGCACCCCGCCUCCCUCAAAGAGCUCUUGCCCUGGGCUGAUCACUGCCUUGGCCUCCAACAUCCCUGCCUAUGGGAGGGAGGGACCACCUGUGGGCUUGAUCAGGCAGGGAGAGCUCCAGCCAGAAGGGAGUUGGACCCUAGUGUGGAUGAAGAGGGGCAGAAGGACGGGGUUACACCACACUUGAGUUUCCUUGUGAAAGACGUUCAGAUUUCAGACUUUUUCAUAGUAAGUGUGGCAGCUGCAUGGCAGUGUUAAGCACACUGACCAUGAAAGUUCCAAAGGUCUAUCUGUAUGUGCUCCCAUGGGCAACUCCCCAAGAUAUGGGGCCAGCUGAACCCCCAGGUACAGAGCAGCCUGCAUCACUGCAGGCUCCACGGGUAUCAGGGAGUGGGACACGCAUGUGGGCACAGCAAAGGUCUUCACAGACACCCUGUGCAUCUGGAGCCAGGCCCAGCUCCAGGUAAGAGCACGGGAGAUGGGGACCUGAGGCAGGAGGAGAAAGCUUCCUGCCCCAUACCCUCUUGUACUACUUUAAGUUUUAAUGACAUAUCAUAGCCUAAUGGUAGCAUUAAUAAAUACUUCAAAAUAAAGAUGAAUUUCACCCUCCAAAAACAUACAAAGAAGGCAGGAAGAGGCAGUCUAGUGUCACAAAAAGAUGUAGGUUUUGAGCCAGAUGCAGUGGCUCACACCUGUAAUCCCAGCACUUUGGGAGGCUGAGGUGCGGGGAUUGCUUGAGCUCAGGAGUUUGAGACCAGCCUGGGCAACAGAGCAAGACCCCAUCUCUACAAAAAGGUUUUAGAAAAUAGCCGGACGUAGUGAAGUGUACCUGUUGUCCCAGCUACACAGGAGGCUGAAGUGGGAGAAUCAGUUGAGCCCAGGAAGUUGAGGCUGCAGUGAGCUAUGGUCACACCAUGGCAUUCCAGCCUGGGCGACAGAGUGAGACCCUGUCUG